UACGUAGGGCGCAAGCGUUGUCCGGAAUUAUUGGGCGUAAAGAGCUCGUAGGCGGUUUGUCGCGUCUGCUGUGAAAUCCCGAGGCUCAACCUCGGGCCUGCAGUGGGUACGGGCAGACUGGAGUGCGGUAGGGGGAGAAUGGAAUUCCUGGUGUAGCGGUGGAAUGCGCAGAUAUCAGGAGGAACACCGAUGGCGAAGGCAGUUCUCUGGGCCGUAACUGACGCUGAGGAGCGAAAGCGUGGGGGAGCGAACAGG
rnacentral:rRNA from 1 species